rnacentral:rRNA from 1 species
GGCGGCACGCCUAACACAUGCAAGUCGAACGGAGUUUUGAGAGCUUGCUUUUAAAACUUAGUGGCGGACGGGUGAGUAACACGUGAGCAACCUGCCUUUCAGAGAGGGAUAGCUUCUGGAAACGGAUGGUAAUACCUCAUAAUAUAUUUCUGUGGCAUCACAGAAAUAUCAAAGAUUUAUCGCUGAAAGAUGGUCUCACGUCUGAUUAGCUAGAUGGCGGGGUAACGGCCCACCAUGGCGACGAUCAGUAGCCGGUCUGAGAGGAUGAACGGCCACAUUGGGACUGAGAUACGGCCCAGACUCCUACGGGAGGCAGCAGUGGGGAAUAUUGGGCAAUGGGGGAAACCCUGACCCAGCAACGCCGCGUGAAGGAAGAAGGCCCUCGGGUUGUAAACUUCUUUUACCAGGGACGAAGAACGUGACGGUACCUGGAGAAAAAGCAACGGCUAACUACGUGCCAGCAGCCGCGGUAAUACGUAGGUUGCAAGCGUUGUCCGGAUUUACUGGGUGUAAAGGGCGUGUAGGCGGAGAUGCAAGUUGGGAGUGAAAUCCCGGGGCUCAACCCCGGAACUGCUUUCAAAACUGUAUCCCUUGAGUGUCGGAGAGGCAAGCGGAAUUCCUAGUGUAGCGGUGAAAUGCGUAGAUAUUAGGAGGAACACCAGUGACGAAGGCGGCUUGCUGGACGAUAACUGACGCUGAGGCGCGAAAGCGUGGGGAGCAAACAGGAUUAGAUACCCUGGUAGUCCACGCUGUAAACGAUGAAUACUAGGUGUGGGAGGACUGACCCCUUCCGUGCCGCAGUUAACACAAUAAGUAUUCCACCUGGGGAGUACGACCGCAAGGUUGAAACUCAAAGGAAUUGACGGGGGCCCGCACAAGCAGCGGAGCAUGUGGUUUAAUUCGAAGCAACGCGAAGAACCUUACCUAGACUUGACAUCUCCUGCAUUACCCUUAAUCGGGGAAGUUCCUUCGGGAACAGGAAGACAGGUGGUGCAUGGUUGUCGUCAGCUCGUGUCGUGAGAUGUUGGGUUAAGUCCCGCAACGAGCGCAACCCUUAUUGUUAGUUGCUACCAUUUAGUUGAGCACUCUAGCGAGACUGCCCGGGUUAACCGGGAGGAAGGUGGGGAUGACGUCAAAUCAUCAUGCCCCUUACGCCCUGGGCUACACACGUACUACAAUGGCGCAGCAACAACGGGGAGCGAAGGCGUGAGCCGGAGCAAAUCCUUAAAAGGCGUCCCAGUUCAGAUUGCAGGCUGCAACUCGCCUGCAUGAAGUUGGAAUUGCUAGUAAUCGCGGAUCAGCAUGUCGCGGUGAAUACGUUCCCGGGCUUUGCACACACCGCCCGUCAA